rnacentral:rRNA from 1 species
GACGAACGCUGGCGGCGUGCUUAACACAUGCAAGUCGAACGAAGUGGCGAACGGGUGAGUAACGCUUAAUCAACCUGCCCUUAAGAGGGGGACAACAGUUGGUAACGUCUGCUAAUACCGAAUACUGAAGGAGGGGUUUGCGUAUGAUUAGCUAGGUGGAGGGGUAACGGACCACCAAGGCGAGGAUCAGUAGCCGGUCUGAGAGGAUGAACGGCCACAUUGGGACUGAGACACGGCCCAGACGCCUACGGAAGGCAGCAGGGGGGAAUCUUGCGCAAUGGACGAAAGACUGACGAAGCAACGCCGCGUGAGGGAUGACGGCCUUCGGGUUGGAAAGCUCUGUUAAUCGGGACGCGGUACCGGAAUAGAAAGCAACGGCUAACUACGUGCCAGCAGCCGCGGUAAUAC